rnacentral:lncRNA from 1 species
GAAUAAUAGCACCAAAAAGUGAAAAGUAACUGAGAAAACAUGCAUGCAAAGUACUUAGCACAGUGCACAUAUACAUAAAAUUGAGUAAAUUUUAACUAGUAUCAUUCAAAAAAAAAAAAAAAAAAAAGAAGAAGGCUCUGCAUAACCUGUGCUCCCAGCUCUGCAACCUUCUAGAGGCCACUGAAUUCCUCCAUUAUCGGGUUCUAGUCACAUAAGCCUUGUUUUCCAUCCAGCAAAAGUACCUUCAGCCUCAGGACUUUUGCACAUUCCCUCUGCCUGAAAGAUUUUUUUCACCUUCUGCUUCAACCAAGCCUCUGCGUGUUUGUGUUUUGCUGGGGAUUGAACCCAGGGCCUCUUACAUGCUAGGCAAGUACUCUAACACUGAGCUACAUCCCUAACCUACAGCCUCUCCUUUCUUUGGGCCUACAUUACUUGUUACAUGGUGUGGCAAAUUCCUUCCAAUUCUUUCCUCCCCAAAAAGUGAUCUUCCUGUUCUAUGCUGUCACAGCAGCAGGUUUCUCCUUACUUGCAAAUUUCCCAGUUGAAAUGUAGAAUUGGUUUUGUUAAGCAAUUAAUGUCUUUCACCCUUUGGACAGUUCACCAGGCUAGGAGCUCAGUCUGUUGCAUUUGCUGUGGUAUCUCCAGCCUCUAGGACAGUGAGGGACCUAGGCCCUCCAUUUAUGGGGAAUAACCAGAGUGGAUGAUGGGACUCUGAGGCCAAAUGAAUCCUGGGUCUUCUAUAUUGUUUCACCACUUCCUUCCAAUAAACAAGUAUUAAGAUCAUCCAUAUACCAAGUCCUGUGCUGGACACAAGG